rnacentral:rRNA from 1 species
GACCCGCACAAGCGGUGGAGCAUGUGGUUUAAUUCGAAGCAACGCGAAGAACCUUACCAAGUCUUGACAUCCCGGUGACGCAUGUAGAAAUAUAUGUUUUCUUCGGAACACUGGAGACAGGUGGUGCAUGGUUGUCGUCAGCUCGUGUCGUGAGAUGUUGGGUUAAGUCCCGCAACGAGCGCAACCCUUAUUCUUAGUAGCCAGCAGGUAAAGCUGGGCACUCUAGGGAGACUGCCAGGGAUAACCUGGAGGAAGGUGGGGAUGACGUCAAAUCAUCAUGCCCCUUAUGAUUUGGGCUACACACGUGCUACAAUGGCGUAAACAAAGGGAGGCGAAGGAGUGAUCUGGAGCGAACCCCAAAAAUAACGUCUCAGUUCGGAUUGCAGGCUGCAACCCGCCUGCAUGAAGCCGGAAUCGCUAGUAAUCGCAGAUCAGAAUGCUGCGGUGAAUACGUUCCCGGGUCUUGUACACACCGCCCGUCACACCAUGGGAGUCGAUAACGCCCGAAGUCAGUGACCCAACCGAAAGGAGGGAGCUGCCGAAGGCGGGAUUGAUAACUGGGGUGAAGUCGUAACAAGGUAGCCGUAUCGGAAGGUGCGGCUGGAUCACCUCCUUUCUAAGGAA